rnacentral:rRNA from 1 species
UACAGAGGUCCCAAGCGUUGUUCGGAUUCACUGGGCGUAAAGGGUGCGCAGGUGGUCGGGUAAGUCUGAUGUGAAAUCCCGCAGCUUAACUGCGGAAUGGCAUUGGAUACUAUUCGGCUAGAGGGUUGGAGGGGGGACUGGAAUUCUCGGUGUAGCAGUGAAAUGCGUAGAUAUCGAGAGGAACACCAGUGGCGAAGGCGAGUCCCUGGACAACACCUGACACUGAGGCACGAAAGCUAGGGGAGCAAACGGG